CUGGGUAAAUGGUCUGUUUCGGUCCUUAGUCUGAAAUAAUGAAGCGUUAACUUCAAUGUAUUGUGUUCAUUUGUGUGUGAAUAGGAAUUGCAAAAGUGAAAUGUAAAAGGCAUUUCAUUUGGGUCAUGAUCAAGGAAAAGUGAUAUGCGCAGCACUUUUUCCUGUCAGUUCUUUAUAUGAACAGUUGUAACUGAUCAAAAGCAAUGUGCUAAGUAUGGCAAUUCUGGUUUAUGUCUGUUUUCAGAAGGAAAAAGGUAAAGAAAAGAGUAAACCGAUUUUGGUUGUUUUGUUUUUUUGUUCCAUUUUGGCAAAUUCAGUGGGGGAGAAUGUAACGGAUAAAAGAAAUUUGUAAUGAAUUAUGCCAAAAUGUUUGUUCAUGUUCUAUAAUGUACCAAGUGCAUCUAAGAAAAGGGGAUGGGGACACCUACAGGCGAGUACCUAUUAGUGCUAUCCGCCAUUUUCUCUUCAGUUUAUGCGAGCUGUUGAGGAGAAUGUUAUGUGACCGGAUGAGCUGUAUUUCAAGUCUGUAUGGUGUUAUUUCACAUAUCUCCAGGUAUGAUGUACUGUUUUCUUUGUUUAGAGAAAAGAAAGAAAAGAAACUGAGCUUUUAAUUGCGAUAAAAACGUGAUUUAUUGUUUGUUGAAUUAAUGAAAGAGUUUAUGCGAGCUGUUGAGGAGAAUGUUAUGUGACCGGAUGAGCUGUAUUUCAAGUCUGUAUGGUGUUAUUUCACAUAUCUCCAGUAAACACUUGAUGGAUGUUGAA